CCUGACCCACGAGCGCCAAGGCGCUGUCAGGACGUUACUCCUAAGGGAAAAGAGUCUAGGGAGUGGGGGUUGGGGGGAGGAAGUUACUUUCAGACCACGUGGCCUGUAGCGGACCAGCCCAACAGCUCCACCCCUGCAAGCUUCCAAAUCGCCCGCGCUUUCCCUGCUGUGUCGUUGCAUGGGGCUGGCGGGUCUCGGUGAAGGAACUGCUUUGACUCCAGGUAUUCCAUGGCUUCACAGACAUCUUUGCACAUCUCCAGCAGCUGCUGAGUCUGGAAGCGGUGGCGCAUCUCCCUCAGGUAGUUCAGGAGGCAGCCAUUGGCCAUGUACUCAGUGAUGAUGAAGAUGGGGCGUUGUUUGGUGCAGACGCCAUACAACUGCACCAGCUUCUCAUGGGAAAGAUUCCUAUAGAAGAGGCAAGGAACUAGUCCUCCCCUUUUGGCUCUGCAUACUAGUUAUAAUGGGGCUGAGGAGGGAAGGGUUUGGCCUAGGAUAGAUAAUUAGGUAAGGUAGCAUAAUAGCAACUUUAUUUAUUUCCUUUCCAACUCACACCCCAGAAGUGUCUAAUAUAUGGGGUGCACAGGGAUUUGGAACAUAGCAAUUGAAUAGGAAAUAAAUCCAGGGUUGAAAGAUCA